ensembl:lncRNA LINC02546 long intergenic non-protein coding RNA 2546
AGUAUCUGAAUUUGGGGAGAACAUAAGUCCAUGACACAUGUGUACAAAACUUUCAUUGUGAUAUUAGUGUCAUAAUAAUAAUAUAUAACAACAUACAACAGAGCAACCAACAAGCUUAACACCUGAGAAAAGAUAGGUGCCUCCCAGAAGUAACAAACAUGAGUACUUGAUUACCUAGGGCACACAUAGCACAGACCAAGAUAUAAUCGCCUUGAAAGUGGAUGAAAAGAAUGCAGCUGAAACAUUUAUCAAAUUAUUGGAGGCCAAAUGUGAACACUAGUGAAGAUCAACUGUGGUUGGAGAAAUGAAGAACAGCAAAACUCUAACCCCGGGACAAAGUAAGACCAUUUAAAGGGACCAAAAAUGGAUGAACAUACUUGGCACUAUGAACUAAAAGAUCUUUGGCUAAAGAAGAGAUGAAGACUCAUUCAACUCCUACAAGUGAAUUAAGGAGCUCUGAGAAGGCAAAGCCAGCCCAGGAGGGUGGACACACUAAGAACAAUGUGCCUUGUCCUGAUACACAGUUGUGGUAUAGGUAACAAAAUCUGAGUAUCCAACCUAAGAUGUUACCCCUCACCUCACCAGAAUACCUCCAAUCCCUUCCCUGGAAACACAGAAUAAAUUCCUAUAGAAAGUUAUAAAGCAGAAAAACAA